CCUACGGGGGGCAGCAGUGGGGAAUAUUGCACAAUGGGCGAAAGCCUGAUGCAGCAACGCCGCGUGAAGGAAGAAGGGUUUCGGCUCGUAAACUUCUAUCAACAGGGACGAAAGAAAUGACGGUACCUGAAUAAGAAGCCCCGGCUAACUACGUGCCAGCAGCCGCGGUAAUACGUAGGGGGCAAGCGUUAUCCGGAAUUACUGGGUGUAAAGGGUGAGUAGGCGGCAUGGUAAGCCAGAUGUGAAAGCCUUGGGCUUAACCCGAGGAUUGCAUUUGGAACUAUCAAGCUAGAGUACAGGAGAGGAAAGCGGAAUUCCUAGUGUAGCGGUGAAAUGCGUAGAUAUUAGGAAGAACACCAGUGGCGAAGGCGGCUUUCUGGACUGAAACUGACGCUGAGGCACGAAAGCGUGGGGAGCGAACAGGAUUAGAUACCCUUG
rnacentral:rRNA from 1 species